CGAACGGGGAACUACAUGAAGCUUGCUUUGAGUAGUUUCUAGUGGCGAACGGGUGCGUAACACGUGAGCAACCUGCCCGGAAGAGGGGGAUAGCCCGGGGAAACUCGGAUUAAUACCGCAUGCGGUCCCUCCUGGCAUUAGGAGGUGAUUAAAGGUGGGGAUCCUUCGGGACCUGCCGCUACCGGAUGGGCUCGCGGUCUAUCAGCUUGAUGGUGGGGUAAUGGCCUACCAUGGCUACGACGGAUAGCUGGUCUGAGAGGAUGGUCAGCCACACUGGAACUGAGACACGGUCCAGACACCUACGGGUGGCAGCAGUCGAGAAUCAUUCACAAUGGGCGAAAGCCUGAUGGUGCGACGCCGCGUGGAGGAUGAAGGUCUUCGGAUUGUAAACUCCUGUCAUCAGGGAGUAAGUCAGUUGGCGUUAAUAGCGUCAGCUGUUGUUAGUACCUGAAGAGGAAGAGACGGCUAACUCUGUGCCAGCAGCCGCGGUAAUACAGAGGUCUCAAGCGUUGUUCGGAUUUACUGGGCGUAAAGCGUGCGUAGGCGGCGAGGUAAGUCAGAUGUGAAAGCUCGGGGCUCAACCCCGAAAAUGCAUCCGAUACUGCCUUGCUAGAGUAAUGGAGGGGAGUCUGGAAUUCACGGUGUAGCAGUGAAAUGCGUAGAUAUCGUGAGGAACACUAGUGGCGAAGGCGAGACUCUGGGACAUUUACUGACGCUGAGGCACGAAGGCUAGGGUAGCGA
rnacentral:rRNA from 1 species